AGGUCAUUAGCUAUUGUUAGUGUUAGUGUAUUUUUUGUGUGGCCCAAGACAAUCUUCUUCCAGUGUGGCCCAGGGAAGCCAAAAAAUUGGACACACUUGAUGUAAACAUUUCAAGAAAAUUCAGACUAUAUGAUCACUCAAGACAGCCGAUUCACCAGCCUUCUGAAGGGAAGACUAAGCAUAUUCCUAUAUUGAAGAUGCCUGAUGCAUUUUCUUCUGACUCAGUCUUCUGUUUUUCAUGGAGAACACAGAGCAAGACAGAAGC
rnacentral:lncRNA from 10 species